GGGAUCUCAGGUGUGCGAAGUCCCCGGACUGGGGACCCCUCCGGGGUCACCAGCUUCACAGAGCCUGGAAGGAGAUAGACGGUUUUAAGAACUGUGAGCAAGGCUUAGAGGGUUACUAAGGGACCAAUCCAUAAAUUCAGUGUGAAAGCUAUGUAGGACAGGGGCAAGGCCCAGAGGGGCUCAGGGGGUUCUGAGAAGCACAAGUUCGGAGGCAGAGAUCUAGGGACUGCAGCUGGAGGGGUGGGGAGGAAGGGGAGGAAGGAGGGUUCUCACCAUCCAUCAACACCAUCACCAUAUCUUCCUCUACCUGGGUCACCUGCACGGGUCCCCUGUGCUCUGUUUGGGGGGAGUGGGUUAAGGAUUGACCCCACCCCAUUCCCCUUUCCCCACACCACCCCCAGAAGGCCAGUACCUGUGCUUUAGCCACCGCCUCAGUUCACAAGCAAGUGGGCUAAACCCCGCCCACCAUCCCGGUCCCACCCCAUCAUCAAUCUCCCCAGUUAACUAAAACCUGCCAUUCUCCCUUCUCCGCCCUUCCAGCCCUUUCUCAGUCCCGUAGUGCCUCAGGCUAAGCGAAGCCCCGCCUCCAGCUCCGCCCCUCCGGAUCUGAUAAGCCCCGCCCUCAGCAAGACUCCGCCCCACUCACCGGUGCUCAUCUCGCCCAGCCAGCAAGAGAGCGCGCCAAAGCGCACCGUGUGGAAGAGCACCGACUUCCCCGGCCGCCCGGGGCUCACGCCGAUGCACACAGCGGGCAGCUCAGAGCCUGGCCCGGUCAGCAGCGCGAACACGGACAGAGGCGUCGGCAGUGGGAACAGCACCUGCUGCGGGCCGCACAGGGAGGGGCGGGCUAGGGGGUGGUUCAGGACGGGGCCUCAGGGGGCGUGGCUUGUAGCUGGCCUGGGACUUCCGAACCAGGGCCCUAAGUCUUGGGGGAUGCCGUCUAGAAAUGUCAGGGGAUAAGGCCUGGUGCCUCCGCGGGAACGGGGGUCGUGACCUCCGAGUGGGUGUGGCUUCCAUGUGGGGGCAUGCCACCUUGGCGGCAGACGGGCAGGGCCCCAAAGAUAGCAAAACCUGCUUAGACACUCAAAGAGACAGGCUCUAAAUGGGCUCUACUAGGACACCCAGGGAGUGGCAGCAUUGAGCCUGAGGAAUAAUUAGGCCCAGGUGUGAGGGGCGGCGCUUAAGGAUCAGGAUGGCUUCAGAAGGACGAGGCUCCAAGCGCAGACCGCAGGUGGGCGGGGCCUCGGGAGAUUGGGGCGGGGCCUCGACGGAGGUGGGGCUUCAUGGAGCUCUUGAUAGAAGCGCAAAGGGUGCAAGGCCUUAGCCACCCACUCCUCAGAGUUCCCAGCACCCUCCCAAGCCCCUUACCCGGACAAGCAGGAAUUUGUUCAUGGGCUGGUACCACUGAAGCAGGACAACGGACGUCUCCAAUGCACCGCACAGGAACGGGCCCCCAGAGCUCGCACCCUCCGCUGUGGCAUGGGCAAGGAUGAGUCAAGAUCAAUGCCCUCUAUCCUCCUCGCCACCCACACUACCACCCAUCUUCUGGGUUCUGGACACAUUGCCUUAACUCUGUAACCUUCUCAGGUGGAUGCAGUUCAAGCCCCUCCUCUGGCCUGGCCCCGCCCACUCUCUGCACACCCGUGAAGCUCUCUCUCACCCACACAGCACGCCCGGCAGCCUUUGGUGUCCUGGAUCUUGGUGGAAACCAUGUUCUUCCUGGAGAAUAGGAUCUCCUUGACCCUCCAGAAUGCCCACCCUUGGUGGAGGGAUGUGUCCAGGCGGCCGUGCUGUGGAUCCGGAGGGGGCAGCCAUUGAACAACUUUACGAGAAGGGCACAUCCCUGGGCAGGUCGCCGCGGGGCCAGGCAGCAGAUCCGGCAAAGAGAGCAGGGAACAGGAAGGGGCAGUGGUUACGACUUUGGAGCGAGAGUGCCAAGGUUCAAAUCCUGCCUCUUACCUUGGUGCAAUUUCCCAUAAUCUAUCCCUGUAAUACACUUUUUCAUACAUUGAGUUUUCUUUUCAGUUUGUUUUUGUUUUUUUUUGUUGUUGUUAUAUAUUUCUUUUUUUAGUUUUUCCUCCACUAUCCUAAAUCAUCAGCAUUUGUUUUUUUUAAGACAGAGUCUCACUCGGUUGCCCAGGCUGGAAUGCAAUGACAUGAUCUCAGCUCACUACAACCUCUGCUUCCCAAGUUCAACUGAUUCUCAUGCCUAAGCCUUCUGAGUAGCUGGGACCAAAGGCGUGUGCCACCACACCCAGCUAAUUUUUGUAUUUUUAGUAGAGAUGGAGUUUUGCCAUGUUGCCCAGGCUGGUCUUGAACUCUUGGCCUCAUGUGAUUCAC
rnacentral:lncRNA from 1 species